rnacentral:rRNA from 1 species
GGUCAAGUGAAGAAGCGCAUACGGUGGAUGCCUUGGCAGUCAGAGGCGAUGAAAGACGUGGUAGCCUGCGAAAAGCUUCGGGGAGUCGGCAAACAGACUUUGAUCCGGAGAUCUCUGAAUGGGGGAACCCACCUAGGAUAACCUAGGUAUCUUGUACUGAAUCCAUAGGUGCAAGAGGCGAACCAGGGGAACUGAAACAUCUAAGUACCCUGAGGAAAAGAAAUCAACCGAGAUUCCCUUAGUAGUGGCGAGCGAACGGGGAUUAGCCCUUAAGCUUCAUUGAUUUUAGCGGAACGCUCUGGAAAGUGCGGCCAUAGUGGGUGAUAGCCCCGUACGCGAAAGGAUCUUUGAAGUGAAAUCGAGUAGGACGGAGCACGAGAAACUUUGUCUGAACAUGGGGGGACCAUCCUCCAAGGCUAAAUACUACUGACUGACCGAUAGUGAACCAGUACCGUGAGGGAAAGGCGAAAAGAACCCCGGAGAGGGGAGUGAAAUAGAACCUGAAACCGUAUGCGUACAAGCAGUGGGAGCCUACUUGUUAGGUGACUGCGUACCUUUUGUAUAAUGGGUCAGCGACUUAUAUUCAGUGGCAAGCUUAACCGUAUAGGGUAGGCGUAGCGAAAGCGAGUCUUAAUAGGGCGUUUAGUCGCUGGGUAUAGACCCGAAACCGGGCGAUCUAUCCAUGAGCAGGUUGAAGGUUAGGUAACACUGACUGGAGGACCGAACCCACUCCGUUGAAAAGGUAGGGGAUGACUUGUGGAUCGGAGUGAAAGGCUAAUCAAGCUCGGAGAUAGCUGGUUCUCCUCGAAAGCUAUUUAGGUAGCGCCUCAUGUAUCACUCUGGGGGGUAGAGCACUGUUUCGGCUAGGGGGUCAUCCCGACUUACCAAACCGAUGCAAACUCCGAAUACCCAGAAGUGCCGAGCAUGGGAGACACACGGCGGGUGCUAACGUCCGUCGUGAAAAGGGAAACAACCCAGACCGCCAGCUAAGGUCCCAAAGUUGUGGUUAAGUGGUAAACGAUGUGGGAAGGCUUAGACAGCUAGGAGGUUGGCUUAGAAGCAGCCAUCCUUUAAAGAAAGCGUAAUAGCUCACUAGUCGAGUCGGCCUGCGCGGAAGAUGUAACGGGGCUCAAACCACACACCGAAGCUGCGGGUGUCACGUAAGUGACGCGGUAGAGGAGCGUUCUGUAAGCCUGUGAAGGUGAGUUGAGAAGCUUGCUGGAGGUAUCAGAAGUGCGAAUGCUGACAUGAGUAACGACAAUGGGUGUGAAAAACACCCACGCCGAAAGACCAAGGGUUCCUGCGCAACGUUAAUCGACGCAGGGUUAGUCGGUUCCUAAGGCGAGGCUGAAAAGCGUAGUCGAUGGGAAACAGGUUAAUAUUCCUGUACUUCUGGUUACUGCGAUGGAGGGACGGAGAAGGCUAGGCCAGCUUGGCGUUGGUUGUCCAAGUUUAAGGUGGUAGGCUGAAAUCUUAGGUAAAUCCGGGGUUUCAAGGCCGAGAGCUGAUGACGAGUCGUCUUUUAGAUGACGAAGUGGUUGAUGCCAUGCUUCCAAGAAAAGCUUCUAAGCUUCAGGUAACCAGGAACCGUACCCCAAACCGACACAGGUGGUCGGGUAGAGAAUACCAAGGCGCUUGAGAGAACUCGGGUGAAGGAACUAGGCAAAAUGGCACCGUAACUUCGGGAGAAGGUGCGCCGGCUAGGGUGAAGGAUUUACUCCGUAAGCUCUGGCUGGUCGAAGAUACCAGGCCGCUGCGACUGUUUAUUAAAAACACAGCACUCUGCAAACACGAAAGUGGACGUAUAGGGUGUGACGCCUGCCCGGUGCCGGAAGGUUAAUUGAUGGGGUUAGCGCAAGCGAAGCUCUUGAUCGAAGCCCCGGUAAACGGCGGCCGUAACUAUAACGGUCCUAAGGUAGCGAAAUUCCUUGUCGGGUAAGUUCCGACCUGCACGAAUGGCGUAACGAUGGCGGCGCUGUCUCCACCCGAGACUCAGUGAAAUUGAAAUCGCUGUGAAGAUGCAGUGUAUCCGCGGCUAGACGGAAAGACCCCGUGAACCUUUACUGUAGCUUUGCACUGGACUUUGAGCCUGCUUGUGUAGGAUAGGUGGGAGGCUUUGAAGCGUGGACGCCAGUUCGCGUGGAGCCAUCCUUGAAAUACCACCCUGGCAUGCUUGAGGUUCUAACUCUGGUCCGUGAUCCGGAUCGAGGACAGUGUAUGGUGGGCAGUUUGACUGGGGCGGUCUCCUCCUAAAGAGUAACGGAGGAGUACGAAGGUGCGCUCAGACCGGUCGGAAAUCGGUCGCAGAGUAUAAAGGCAAAAGCGCGCUUGACUGCGAGACAGACACGUCGAGCAGGUACGAAAGUAGGUCUUAGUGAUCCGGUGGUUCUGUAUGGAAGGGCCAUCGCUCAACGGAUAAAAGGUACUCCGGGGAUAACAGGCUGAUACCGCCCAAGAGUUCAUAUCGACGGCGGUGUUUGGCACCUCGAUGUCGGCUCAUCACAUCCUGGGGCUGAAGCCGGUCCCAAGGGUAUGGCUGUUCGCCAUUUAAAGUGGUACGCGAGCUGGGUUUAGAACGUCGUGAGACAGUUCGGUCCCUAUCUGCCGUGGACGUUUGAGAUUUGAGAGGGGCUGCUCCUAGUACGAGAGGACCGGAGUGGACGAACCUCUGGUGUUCCGGUUGUCACGCCAGUGGCAUUGCCGGGUAGCUAUGUUCGGAAAAGAUAACCGCUGAAAGCAUCUAAGCGGGAAACUUGCCUCAAGAUGAGAUCUCACUGGGAACUUGAUUCCCCUGAAGGGCCGUCGAAGACUACGACGUUGAUAGGCUGGGUGUGUAAGCGUUGUGAGGCGUUGAGCUAACCAGUACUAAUUGCCCGUGAGGCUUGACCAU